GAACGCACCUUGCGCCCUUUGGUAUUCCGAUGGGCAUGCCUGUUCGAGUGUCUUGAAUUCAUCGCCGCCUCCGGUUUUGCGACCGGCUGGCGGCGGACUUGGGGGUCUGCCGCGGCGACGCGGCUCCCUUUGAAUGUAUCGGUGGGGUCUCCGAGCACCCACGGGCGUUGUAUUGUCCUCGUCCGACCGGGCCUCGCGUCCCCCGCCUCGACUGCCGUAUGAGCGGCGGUCAAGCACACUUUGAAAUCUGACCUCGAAUCAGGUAAGACUACCCGCUGAACUUA
rnacentral:misc_RNA from 1 species